rnacentral:rRNA from 1 species
UACAGAGGGUGCGAGCGUUAAUCGGAAUUACUGGGCGUAAAGCGCGCGUAGGCGGCUUUGCAAGUCGGGUGUGAAAUCCCCAGGCUUAACCUGGGAACUGCAUUCGAGACUGCAUUGCUAGAGUAUGGGAGAGGGAAGUGGAAUUUCCGGUGUAGCGGUGAAAUGCGUAGAUAUCAGGAGGAAUACCGGUGGUGUAGACGGCUCUCUGGACCGCCACUGACGCUGAGACACGAAAGCGUGGGUAGCAAACAGG